rnacentral:rRNA from 1 species
AGUGAACGCUGGCGGUAGGCCUAACACAUGCAAGUCGAACGGCAGCACAGUAAGAGCUUGCUCUUACGGGUGGCGAGUGGCGGACGGGUGAGGAAUACAUCGGAAUCUACUUUUACGUGGGGGAUAACGAAGGGAAACUUACGCUAAUACCGCAUACGACCUACGGGUGAAAGAAGGGGAUCUUCGGACCUUGCGCGAUUGAAUGAGCCGAUGUCGGAUUAGCUAGUUGGCGGGGUAAAGGCCCACCAAGGCGACGAUCCGUAGCUGGUCUGAGAGGAUGAUCAGCCACACUGGAACUGAGAGACGCCCCAGACUCCUACGGGAGGCAGCAGUGGGGAAUAUGGGACAAUGCGCGCAAGCCUGAACCAGCCAUACCGCGUGGGUGAAGAAGGCCUUCGGGUUGUAAAGCCCUUUUGUUGGGAAAGAAAAGCAGCAGGUUAAUACCCCGCUGUUCUGACGGUACCCAAAGAAUAAGCACCGGCUAACUUCGUG